ensembl:miRNA mdo-mir-7250 mdo-mir-7250
UACGGCCCCUCCAGGGAACCACGUGCAUGAGGGAACUACGUGGCCCCAGGAGAGGAUGGA